rnacentral:rRNA from 1 species
UACAGAGGUCUCAAGCGUUGUUCGGAUUCAUUGGGCGUAAAGGGUGUGUAGGUGGCGCGCUAAGUCGGGUGUGAAAUUUCGGAGCUUAACUCCGAAACUGCAUUCGAUACUGGCGUGCUUGAGGACUGGAGAGGAGACUGGAAUUCAUGGUGUAGCAGUGAAAUGCGUAGAGAUCAUGAGGAAGACCAGUGGCGAAGGCGGGUCUCCGGACAGUUCCUGACACUGAGACACGAAGGCCAGGGGAGCAAACGGG